ACAAUCAACACUCCACUCAGACAAUGCCCAGACCUCCAGAAACCAUGUGUCAAGCUCGGAUUGCCUUAGACAGGUGCAAUUUAAGAACAGCUUUCAUCCUCUUUUCUCUCAUAUUGUCACACUAUGUGUUCUGACUUCUGGCUCCUUUCCUCACAAGAAGCUCACCCAGCUGGAACUCUUAUGGGACCUUGGCACCAGAGACCACAAAUUCCUCUUUGAAGUUUUCUAACAGCAACAAUGGUAUUUCUGACUUGGCUUUCUUGUAUUUCUCUCACGUUAACAAAAUUGGUUCAGCAUCUACCAUGGGCUACAUGCUGAGCUACAGGUAAGGUUUGGCUAAAGGAUGAAUAAGAACCCCUCCUUGUCUUCAGGAGUUUGUCUAGCAGAGGAGUCUGUCAUGUAAUCAGGAAACUCCAGUACACAACGUGAUAGCUCUAAGACAGAGUUUCGCUCUGUCGCCCAGGCUGGAGUGCAGUGGCGCGCGAUCUCGGUUCACUGCAAGCUCCACCUCCCGGGUUCACGCCAUUCUCCUGCCUCAGCCUCCUGAGUAGCUGGGACUACAGGCGCCCGCCACCACACCCAGGAAUCCAACUUGCUGUUUGCUAUCACAUGUGCUAUACAUGCUGUUGAUGAAACUGCUAAAGGGGCUGAAUGUGACUGACGUCUUUGGAAGGAUGAGACUUAGCGUGCCUGUACAGUUGUGUCCAAAUGCUGUCCUCAUCUCCCAAUGAAAAGCUGAACUAGGGCCAUGCCUGGGACAGACAGAGAAUGGCCUUCCAGCAGACAUGCCAAGAAGCAAGCCAGGGUCAGUGAGUGAAGAGGAGGGCAGGCCCAUUUGAAGCAACACAGUUUAUAUACAUGAAAAGAAAGAAGGAGAGAAGGAAGAAAGGAGGGCGGAAGGAAAGGAAGAAGGGAGAGAAGAAGAGAAGAAAGAAGCAGAGAAAGGAAGAGAAAAGAAAUUACGGCCAGUGCGGUGGCUCACGCCUGUAAUCCUAGCACUUUGGGAGGCCUAAGCGGGCUGAUCACCUGAGGUCAGGAGUUCGUAAGCCAGCCUGGCCAACAUGGUGAAACCCUAUCUCUACUAAAAAUACAAAAAUCAGCAGGGCAUGGUGGUGCGUGCCUGUAAUCCCAGCUACCUGGGAGGCUGAGGUAGGAGAAUCGCUGGAACCCGAGAGGCGGAGGCUGCAGUGAGUUGAGAUCAUGUCACUGCACUCCAGGCUGGGCAACAGAGUGAGACUCUGUCUCAGAAAAAAAAAAAAA
ensembl:lncRNA LUCAT1 lung cancer associated transcript 1